UAACUGUUUGUAUUUGUAUUUGGGUUCGAUUUUAAGAAUAUCAAGGUCUAUUAUGUUGGUGGUGUCUAAUUUUAGUUGUUGCGUGUUUUGAUGUUGGUUUUGGGUUUUUUGUUAGUUGUAGCUAUGGGGCUUUGUCACUGGUGCAUAAAAAUCCCGAUGGACCAUCAUCGCCAUAGUAGGUAUCUCAAUUUGGAUUUCAGCUUGCAAAAUCCCAUGUUUCAAUGGAAAAAAAAACAAGAAAAAGUUUGAGGAAAUGGAAAAGGCGCAUCCAAAGUAGAAACUAUUUUAUGUUACUUAUUACAUUUUUGUUCAAUAAAAACAGAUAAACUUAUACAUCUAUAAAUGGAACCAUUUGUUAUAACUAUGUUUUUAAAUAUAAUCUUUGUUUAUGUUAAAUGACAUUUCAUAUAAAGGCCAAAAACUUACCUUAGGGUAGAUGCUAUAGCAUUGUACUUUGCUUUAAUUUGGAAACAAUAUAAUGCAAAUCCAACCCCUGCAAAGCGGGGAAUACUUCACUGGUUA